CAUCUGUUAGAGUAACCAGGAUUAGCCUGAUAUAAUUAUGAAUAGUAAUAACUUGAAGUUGUUGUAACUAUCUAUGAAUAUUUGCAUAAUGGUUUGCCUUAAACAUAUAGAAUUCCUAUAAAGCCCCUAGUAAGUUUAAGUUGAUUUAUUCUGAGUAGUUACCAACCACUUGCCAGCAGUAUACUGCUGCUUAUUGGCUUGUUUACUGAAUGGUAUGUGUAGUAACUACUGAGAAAAUCAUAAGUUUGUGUUAAAUUGCAGCUAACAGAUAUUUGCUUGUAAGCUUUUUUUAUUACUAGACACACCUACGUUAUUAAACCAGGAACCUAAUUCUGUGUUUUUUAGAUAACAUAAAUUGAGGUGCAAGUUUGUAUUUCAUAAAAUUAUGAUAUAUCUUAACAACACCUGGAGUUGGGUCCCAGGAAUGUACUAAUUCAUCAUUAUACUGCCUUAGACUAAGUAUCGAACUACAUCUAUAGGAGAUAAUCUCAACACUAUUAUUAAUCAUAUGUGCAUCUGUGCAACUUAUCUUAUGCAAUUAAAUAUAUGAUAUUAUUUAUAAA